UUUCUUUGUUCAAGGUACUUUUCGAAUAUAAUCAUCAAAAUCUGGUGAUAGGAUCCUAGAGAAAUCCAGAAGAAUGUAUAAUUGUCAAAGCCUAUCUUGAAGUAAUUUAGGAUUUAGGAUUUUCAAUGUUGUAAUGAAUUUUAGAAACGUAUUUAUGAAACGUAUUUAUUUGAAUAGGAUUAAUAUCAUUAUAAUAAGAGAAAACCUUUACUGAAUAUAAGGUUUUAAUAUGCUAAAAUUAACAGUAAAAUUUGUUUGUUACAAUAAAUACAUUGACAAUUAUCCAUAGACCUAUAUAGUAGGGACACGACAUAUUGUUCUAUACGUACAAUUGCUUAUAUAAAUAGCACCCAUUUUGAAGGCACAUACAUAAACAUAUAUCUAUCUCGUUCUUACUCAGCACUUUAACUCGCAGGAAAACAAUAUAACAGUAUUUCAGUGCGUACAUAAAAUGAAACAUGAAUAUACGUAAAUAUCUCCGUCUCCGUCUAAUGAGGCCGAAAAUCCGCCAUGCUUAGCGCGCCAAAUGUCAUUGUCACGUCAGUUCGGCCGUCUGCUUUGGGUUGUACAUUAUUUAUUGACUAUGAUAUCGAUUUAAUAUGAUUGAUUAUAUAAAAUUUCAUAAUUAUCAUGCUUAAAACAUACAAAAAUAAUAAUUAAAACGUGUUUUAUAGGAUCUCAAGAAAGUCGAUGCCCUAAAACUAUUAUCUAUAUGUAUUUAAAUUCAUUAUGGAGCCCUCAUCCGAAAAAUCCAUUUUUCGGUCGGAAUCUAUUGAUCAUGACACUAAUCAUAAAUACCACUUUAAAAUAUGUCAUCAAAACAUAUUUAGACAUUCUGUUUAGAUAUUUCGGGAAAAAGGCUGCCGACAAAAUCUCUUCGGAACUAUUUAAAUAAAAUAGUUUUAUUCCGCAGUGAGUAAAACACUAUUGUAAAUUUGUUAAAUAUUUAAUAAUUAAGUGAUUUUAGAGAGGAAGUCACAAGGAAUGACGUUUGUAAUUAAUGAAUAAAUGUUCUGUAGGUGUUUUUUUUUUCACGCGGUCCCUUGAUAAGUUUAAAAUUUGAAUCACUCUCAAGCGAAAGUGAUUCAAAUGGUGCGGCGCACCUUCCUUGGGGUGCGCUGCGGUAGUAUGUUACGGACUUUAGAGUCAGCAAAACAAUUAAAAUAGAUUGUAAUAGUCUAAGAAAAACACGUACUCAAAAUACGAUAACAUUUAGCAUGCUAGAAAUGGGCUGAUGGCUUUGAACUACGCCAUAUCUUUAUGUUUUGCAACAAACGACAACUUUAUAAAAUCAGUGUAGCAACUUUUAAAAAUCAUCAUAUCGUUUACUUGGCAAAUUCGAAGGACGAACUUGUCUUAGAUUUCACACAUCUAAAUCAUAUCAUAUUUGCACAUAACAAUAUACCUACUUACUUCCCAUUAAAGUAUAAAUUCUACAAAUAAAUAAUACUCAACAAUAUUUAAAAUAAAAUGAGCCAAGAACGUUUAUCGAUAAAACCUGAUAACAUUGAAAUCUUUUGUACAGCACUAAAGCCGCCAUGUUUUGUGGCCAGAUGACGUCACAGUGGCACGAAAUUUUGGUUGACGUUUCAUUUCCAUAGGUUUCCUACUUCAUUGCAAUUAUCUAAUAAAACAGAUUGACAAUGACAUAAACUUAUGACUGAUAGUUUCAAGUAAGAAGUUUACACAUAGACCUAUAUAGUAGGGACACGACAUAUUGUUCUAUACGUACAAUUGCUUAUAUAAAUAGCACCCAUUUUGAAGGCACAUACAUAAACAUAUAUCUAUCUCGUUCUUACUCAGCACUUUAACUCGCAGGAAAACAAUAUAACAGUAUUUCAGUGCGUACAUAAAAUGAAACAUGAAUAUACGUAAAUAUCUCCGUCUCCGUCUAAUGAGGCCGAAAAUCCGCCAUGUUUAGCGCGCCAAAUGUCAUUGUCACGUCAGUUCGGCCGUCUGUUUUGGGUUGUACAUUAUAUAUUGACUUUGAUAUCGAUUUAAUAUGAUUGAUUAUAUAAAAUUUCAUAAUUAUCAUGCUUAAAACAUACAAAAAUAAUAAUUAAAACGUGUUUUAUAGGAUCUCAAGAAAGUCGAUGCCCUAAAACUAUUAUCUAUAUGUAUUUAAAUUCAUUAUGGAGCCCUCAUCCGAAAAAUCCAUUUUUCGGUCGGAAUCUAUUGAUCAUGACACUAAUCAUAAAUACCACUUUAAAAUAUGUCAUCAAAACAUAUUUAGACAUUCUGUUUAGAUAUUUCGGGAAAAAGGCUGCCGACAAAAUCUCUUCGGAACUAUUUAAAUAAAAUAGUUUUAUUCCGCAGUGAGUAAAACACUAUUGUAAAUUUGUUAAAUAUUUAAUAAUUAAGUGAUUUUAGAGAGGAAGUCACAAGGAAUGACGUUUGUAAUUAAUGAAUAAAUGUUCUGUAGGUGUUUUUUUUUUCACGCGGUCCCUUGAUAAGUUUAAAAUUUGAAUCACUCUCAAGCGAAAGUGAUUCAAAUGGUGCGGCGCACCUUCCUUGGGGUGCGCUGCGGUAGUAUGUUACGGACUUUAGAGUCAGCAAAACAAUUAAAAUAGAUUGUUAUAGUCUAAGAAAAACACGUACUCAAAAUACGAUAACAUUUAGCAUGCUAGAAAUGGGCUGAUGGCUUUGAACUACGCCAUAUCUUUAUGUUUUGCGACAAACGACAACUUUAUAAAAUCAGUGUAGUAACUUUUAAAAAUCAUCAUAUCGUUUACUUGGCAAAUUCGAAGGACGAACUUGUCUUAGAUUUCACCCAUCUAAAUCAUAUCAUAUUUGCACAUAACAAUAUACCUACUUACUUCCCAUUAAAGUAUAAAUUCUACAAAUAAAUAAUACUCAACAAUAUUUAAAAUAAAAUGAGCCAAGAACGUUUAUCGAUUAAACCUGAUAACAUUGAAAUCUUUUGUACAGCACUAAAGCCGCCAUGUUUUGUGGCCAGAUGACGUCACAGUGGCACGAAAUUUUGGUUGACGUUUCAUUUCCAUAGGUUUCCUACUUCAUUGAGUUUACAUCAAUCAUCUUUAAAAAACACCACAAUAAUGCUUUAUUUUAGAGAAUGGGGGUAUUCGAAGAGACCUUCACUCAGCAUUGGGUGGACACGGGUUAAAGAAAAAUUUAAAAGGUGGAAAUUUAAAAUGUGGAAUUUAAGAAAGCUCGUCAUGUUGGUAGGGAGAUAGUCUGUGACGUUAAUAUUAUUACCGCCAAAAAAGACGAAAAAUAGAGAAGAACCUUAGCCGUAUAAACCGCUGCAAAAAUAAAGUUGCUAUUGCUUCGAUUGCGGUAUUAAUUAAAAUUAUCAAUUAUUUUAAUACUAGUUACGCUAAAUGUAUUGCAGACAAGUUUGUAAAAAAACAUGGUAAAGCUUUUUAAUGUUUCGUCAGGUUUAAAUGUUUAACAACAGUUGUUUAUUAACUGUGAAAUUGCACAAAUGUGGGAAAAUGAAACAAAGCCACUGAACGUUACUUCUCAGGAUCCUUCAAACAGUCUCAGUAAAUCUCAUUUCUAUCAGUUCUCAAUUCUCAGUUCUAUAUCAUCUCAUAUCAUUCAAUUUCAUUUCGUUUUCAUUUCAUUUCAUAAUAUAAUUUAUUAUAUUAAAGUUUUCAUUAAAAUUAAAAUAAGAAUUGACCUAAAGGUCUUAGUUACCAGGUCAUAAAAUCCCUUUAAAAAAAACUGACUUUGUAUCACAGAUUAUUAAAAUAGUUACACAAAAAUAGGCGGGAAACCUCAAAUCGGUUGCAGGUACUUUUUGAUCAUUUUUGUGCUAUAAUGUAUUUUUUAAAUUUAAUACACUGUCAUGGUCACAGGCAAUAUUCCUGAAACAUGGAAGUCUCAAGAAGUUAUAGCGAUUAAAAAACCUAACAAAACUACCAAUGAUGUUGCCUCCUAUAGGCCUAUUGCGCUGUCCUCUGUUUUAACUAAGAUGUAUGGAGAGAGACACGCGCGUUUGCUGUAUGACAUUGCCGCGGAUUCUCCAUCGACUUUACACUGACAACUUUAUCAUUUAAUUUUGAUGAUUAGUCGUUAUCAAAAAGCAACGUGUGACCAGCGCUGUGGUGUUAUACAAACUGACGCAACACUGUCUAUUAAAAAGUUAUGUAAACUAA